GACGAACGCUGGCGGCGUGCCUAAUACAUGCAAGUAGGACGCUGAAGGAGGAGCUUGCUUCUCUGGAUGGGUUGCGAACGGGUGAGUAACGCGUAGGUAACCUGCCUGGUAGCGGGGGAUAACUAUUGGAAACGAUAGCUAAUACCGCAUAAGAGUAGAUGUUGCAUGACAUUUGCUUAAAAGGUGCAAUUGCAUCACUACCAGAUGGACCUGCGUUGUAUUAGCUAGUUGGUGGGGUAACGGCUUACCAAGGCGACGAUACAUAGCCGACCUGAGAGGGUGAUCGGCCACACUGGGACUGAGACACGGCCCAGACUCCUACGGGAGGCAGCAGUAGGGAAUCUUCGGCAAUGGACGGAAGUCUGACCGAGCAACGCCGCGUGAGUGAAGAAGGUUUUCGGAUCGUAAAGCUCUGUUGUAAGAGAAGAACGAGUGUGAGAGUGGAAAGUUCACACUGUGACGGUAUCUUACCAGAAAGGGACGGCUAACUACGUG
rnacentral:rRNA from 1 species